GUGAAUUCGGACAAAGCAAGUAUGUGGACUGUGAAAUUGCCAAAAUGACUUCCCUGAUGUUUUUUGUAAAGCUUUGGUAACAUACACCUCUUGCAAUUCUGAUACGACAGUUUACUGGAGGCUGAUCAAAUAUUAGCGUUCUUUAGGAAAGCAGCUGGGGACCUUUCUCGUUCUUUUUCCAUUCACUUUUGGAGGCCGAUGCAGUGGACGUGCGUGCGCAUCAACCACUACCACCAGCAACACGUGCUUUAAGAACGUAUUACUUCUAUCUGCUUUCUCUGGACAGGACACAGAAGAAACGGUGCAACUUGAACUCGAGACACUGUACUCAAAGCCAUCUUUCUUUUUGAUGAGGUAAACUGUAAGCUUUCUUACUAGCUAUCCAUCUGUUCAAAGAAUCAUCUGAAGGGUUCCAUUUGAACUAAAUUUAACUCAAUUCCGGCUACAGUGAGGGGCAGCAGGUCUGCGUGGAUUGCUCCGUACACAAUCAAACAAAAGAUAUCCUCACGAUGAAAACGUUUCACGUUGUGUCCUAUUUGUGGCUAUGCUCGAUUCGAUUUGGUUGACCAAAAAAGUACUAUGACUAAUGAUAACGUAAACACAAAUUGAGACGGUAUUUUUCCCGAUUUGACACAUCGCUGAAG